rnacentral:misc_RNA from 1 species
UCCGAGUUGUCCCCGGCAGUCCUCUUAGAGUCCCCGGCAUUACCCGCUGGCAACUAAGAGCAGGGGUUGCGCUCGUUGCGGCACUUAACCCAACAUCUCACGACACGAGCUGACGACAACCAUGCACCACCUGUCACUUUGUCCCCGAAGGGAAAGCUCUAUCUCUAGAGGGUUCAAAGGAUGUCAAGACCUGGUAAGGUUCUUCGCGUUGCUUCGAAUUAAACCACAUGCUCCACCGCUUGUGCGGGUCCCCGUCAAUUCUUUUGAGUUUCAGCCUUGCGGCCGUACUCCCCAGGCGGAGUGCUUAAUGCGUUAACUUCAGCACUAAGGGGCGGAAACCCCCUAACACCUAGCACUCAUCGUUUACGGCGUGGACUAC